rnacentral:rRNA from 1 species
GUCGAGCGGAAUGAUGAAGAAGCUUGCUUCUUCUGAUUUUAGCGGCGGACGGGUGAGUAACACGUGGGCAACCUACCUUGUAGAUUGGGAUAACUCCGGGAAACCGGGGCUAAUACCGAAUAAACCAUUUUGCUUCAUGGCAAGAUGUUGAAAGGCGGCUUCGGCUGUCACUACUAGAUGGGCCCGCGGCGUAUUAGCUAGUUGGUAGGGUAAUGGCCUACCAAGGCGACGAUACGUAGCCGACCUGAGAGGGUGAUCGGCCACACUGGGACUGAGACACGGCCCAGACUCCUACGGGAGGCAGCAGUAGGGAAUCUUCCACAAUGGACGAAAGUCUGAUGGAGCAACGCCGCGUGAGUGAAGAAGGUUUUCGGAUCGUAAAACUCUGUUGUAAGGGAAGAACACGUACGAGAGUAACUGCUCGUACCUUGACGGUACCUUAUUAGAAAGCCACGGCUAACUACGUGCCAGCAGCCGCGGUAAUACGUAGGUGGCAAGCGUUGUCCGGAAUUAUUGGGCGUAAAGCGCGCGCAGGCGGUUCUUUAAGUCUGAUGUGAAAGCCCACGGCUCAACCGUGGAGGGUCAUUGGAAACUGGAGAACUUGAGUACAGAAGAGGAAAGCGGAAUUCCACGUGUAGCGGUGAAAUGCGUAGAGAUGUGGAGGAACAC